AAAAUCUCUUCUCUGGUUCAGCAUAUAUAGAGCUUUCCCUCUUCCUGGCAAAAGUUGUCAUCACAACACUCUGUUUCCUAGGAGACCACUGAGCUGAUUUCAGUUUGGGUUGAGCAGAGUGUAGGUGAGGCUUCAGUCAUGGAACCCGG